rnacentral:rRNA from 1 species
UACGUAGGGAGCAAGCGUUGUCCGGAAUCAUUGGGCGUAAAGCGCGCGUAGGCGGCCCUGUAAGUCCGUUGUGAAAGUCAAAGGCUCAACCUUUGAAAGCCGAUGGAUACUGCAGGGCUAGAGUCCGGAAGAGGCGAGUGGAAUUCCUGGUGUAGCGGUGAAAUGCGCAGAUAUCAGGAGGAACACCAAUUGCGAAGGCAGCUCGCUGGGACGUGACUGACGCUGAGACGCGAAAGCGUGGGGAGCAAACAGG